UGGGGAAUUUUGGACAAUGGGCGCAAGCCUGAUCCAGCAAUGCCGCGUGAGUGAAGAAGGCCUUCGGGUUGUAAAGCUCUUUUGUCAGGGAAGAAACGGCUUGGGUUAAUACCCUGGGCUAAUGACGGUACCUGAAGAAUAAGCACCGGCUAACUACGUGCCAGCAGCCGCGGUAAUACGUAGGGUGCAAGCGUUAAUCGGAAUUACUGGGCGUAAAGCGUGCGCAGGGCGGGUUUUGUAAGUCUGACGUGAAAUCCCCGGGCUUAACCUGGGAAUUGCGUUGGAGACUGCAAGGCUGGAGUCUGGCAGAGGGGGGUAGAAUUCCACGUGUAGCAGUGAAAUGCGUAGAGAUGUGGAGGAACACCGAUGGCGAAGGCAGCCCCCUGGGUCAAGACUGACGCUCAUGCACGAAAGCGUGGGGAGCAAACAGGAUUAGAUACCCUGGUAGUCCACGCCCUAAACGAUGUCUACUAGUUGUCGGGUCUUAAUUGACUUGGUAACGCAGCUAACGCGUGAAGUAGACC
rnacentral:rRNA from 1 species